rnacentral:tRNA from 2 species
CAGAACAUAGCUUAAACAAAGCAUUUUGCUUACACCAAAAAAAUACCUAUAUUUAGGUUGUCCUG